GGACGGGGCGAACCGGCCCCGCAAUCGGCCCGGGCCGGGCCAGCGCUCUCGGCGGCCGAGCCCGAAGGGAGCGGUCCGGGGACGGCGGCGAUGGGCGGGCUCCAGGGCCCCGACGGACUGGCCCUGGCCAGGUACUGGCCCCGUCGCGCUGCGGCCGUGCCGUGCCGUGCCCGCAGACCGCCCCGCAGACCCGCGGGGCCCGCCCCGGCCAGGGCCCGGACUGCCCCUUUCCCGGGCCAAGAGUCUCUGUGGGCUCGGAGCGGGAUCUCCGUGAGACCGGCGGGCUCGGGCGCCGCGGGGCCAGGGGAGACCGCGGGACCGCCCGCAGACGCACUCGGGCCGUGGUGGGAACGGAGAGGGCUGAAAUCCGAAAAGGGGCCCCCCGUCCCCCCUUGUUGCUCCCCAGAGGCCCCGGCGCCGCGCCCCGCGGGGUGGUCCCGGUGCUCGGCACGGCGGGCGGGAGCGGGCAUGCGGCGCGGAGCCCCGGCGGCGCGGGGUCGGAUGUCCCGGCCCUGGCACUCCCCCGGCCCCCGCUGAGCAGCACAGAGCCCGGGGCUCGACCCCCCGCACUCCGAGUGCCACACGCGUCCCCCGGGUGGCGGCCGGUGGCCCUGGUGUGCAUCGCUCCGUCUGCAGAGCAAGCGAGACCCGUGUGAGCUGAAAGCUCCUGAGCUGCGGCGAGAGCUCUGCGGCUCCGCUACGCUCUGUGUGUUCGGGGAACAUCGCCUGCCCCUUGUGGGGAGUCUUCACGCUAAAGCAGAGGACUUCUCCCCCCAGCUCAACAUUUAGGUUGUGCUCCUGUCUACAGGGAGCUGCUCACGGGGCCUGCAAUAUGCUGAGCAUCAGGCAAACUAAAGCCCUGCUUCAGAAAAGCGUCGGGAUUGCUACGUAAAGCACUUGGACGCUGAGAAAUGCCACAGCUGAAGUCGUGUCUGUGCUCACUCUGUAUUUUCAGUGGCACAGUGACACGCCAGACCUCCAUCUCUCACCUAGGGUAUUCCUCUUUUCAGGCCCCCUGUGUUUUCCUGCCUGCGCUCCCUCUUUGACCAGGGAUGCAGUACCUCUGGCUGCUUAGCUACCCAGGCUCCCUGGUGGCAUUACUAUCUGUAUGAACACAUGGAUUUCUAAACCAUCACCUUCUGCUCUGUCCCUGAGGAGAUCUGGAACACCACUUUGCUGCAGCCUUGAAGCACAUGUUUUGUGUGGGACAUGAAAGCCCAGCCAUGGAGCUGGACACUUGGAUCCUGUGUGGAGUGUGUAAGUUAGGCAAAGUGGGUAUACCGGGUACUCAGCCUUCCUCCACUAAACAGGCACAGUCUGACUCCCCAGGGUCCAGCUAUGACAUCACAGAGCCUCCUUUUUCUUUCCUGUCUUUUGUGCCUUUCUCUGUGGCACAUCCUUGCAGUCCCAAGGAAAUAUCCCUCUGCAGCGAGAACUGCCCUGCCCCCAGCCAGGGAAACAAGUGUGGAAAAGCCAAUGGUCAUCAACCAGUCAGUCCCUAGUCCAGGAUGAGGGCCCAGAUUCCAGGCUGGGAAGGAAGCUGGCAGUGAGGAGCAUUUGGAUGGAUCCCACCAUAGGGAUCAGUUGUGAUACAAAGGACAUGGUCCAGGUCUGCAGAUAGGUUAGCAAGAUGUUUGAGAGCAACAGGAAACUGCUCUACUCUGUGACCUUGCUGGGAAGCUGAAUGAGCUGGGGUGACGUGUCUCCCACAAGGGAGGAUGGUGGCCUGUGCCGACAGCAGCAGGUCCUGCCUGAAGCCUGGAGCACAAGCUCCAUACUGACUUCUACACAUCAAUAUCUGGCACCCAGUAAGUCCCUACUUGUGUCUCCAAGACAGCUUCUGCUUACCUCAUCAUACACUUGCAUUACCUGCAGCCCCUGUCUCCCUUCAAACAUUCAAUCUCUGUUCCAUGCUGGGAGCAGCAAGGAAAGACUGCUUCCAGAGGGGUGGGAAGCCAGGGAGCAAGGGCUUGAAGUCCACAGGGUGAAGUCCACAGGACCUGAGGAAGACUUUGUAGUAAAGAACGAAAGAAUCUCAUAUGCCAAAUCAUGAAGCCAAGAUUCAGAUAAGGAAAGGUUGAAGGACUGCAGAAAAAAUUAAAAAGUUGCAAAA